UUCGCAAUGCCCGAAAGGGUGACGAAGCGACACCGCGUGUGGGAAGAAGGCCUUCGGGUUGUAAACCACUGUCGGGAGUUAAGAAAUGCAAGGAUAUGAAUAGUGUCUUUGUUUGACUAAGGCUCCGGAGGAAGCCACGGCUAACUCUGUGCCAGCAGCCGCGGUAAUACAGAGGCGGCAAGCGUUGUUCGGAAUUAUUGGGCGUAAAGAGCACGUAGGCGGCUGUGUAAGUCGGUUGUGAAAGCCUUCCGCUUAACGGAAGAACGGCAUCCGAUACUGCAUAGCUUGAGUGCGGGAGGGGAGAGUGGAACUUCUGGUGGAGCGGUGAAAUGCGUAGAUAUCAGAAGGAACGCCGGCGGCGAAAGCGGCUCUCUGGCCCAUAACUGACGCUGAGUGUGCGAAAGCUAGGGGAGCAAACGGGAUUAGAUACCCCGGUAGUCCUAGCCGUAAACGAUGGGCACUAAGUAGAGGGGUUUU
rnacentral:rRNA from 1 species